CGGGGGGCUGCAGUGGGGAAUCUUCCGCAAUGGGCGAAAGCCUGACGGAGCAAUGCCGCGUGCAGGAGGACGGCCUUCGGGUUGUAAACUGCUUUUUUUUGGGAAGAUUAUGACGGUACCAGAAGAAUAAGAGCUUGCUAACUACGUGCCAGCAGCAGCGGUAAUACGUAGAGCUCGAGCGUUAUCCGGAUUUACUGGGUGUAAAGGGUCCGCAGGCGGAUUUGUAAGUCUGACGUUAAAUACUCUGGCUCAACCAGAGGAAGGUGUUGGAAACUGCAAGUCUCGAGACCGGGAGAGGCUGAUGGAACUUUUGGAGUAGGGGUAAUAUCCGUUGAUACCAAAAGGAACACCAAAGGCGAAGGCAUUCAGCUGGCCCGGUUCUGACGCUCAGGGACGAAAGCGUGGGGAGCGAACGGGAUUAGAUACCCCGGUAGUC
rnacentral:rRNA from 1 species